UACGUAGGGACCGAGCGUUGUCCGGAAUCAUUGGGCGUAAAGAGCGUGUAGGCGGCCAGACAGGUCCGUUGUGAAAACUGGAGGCUCAACCUCCAGACGUCGAUGGAAACCGUCUGGCUAGAGUCCGGAAGAGGAGAGUGGAAUUCCUGGUGUAGCGGUGAAAUGCGCAGAUAUCAGGAAGAACACCCGUGGCGAAAGCGGCUCUCUGGGACGGUACUGACGCUGAGACGCGAAAGCGUGGGGAGCGAACAGG
rnacentral:rRNA from 1 species